rnacentral:rRNA from 1 species
AUAGAUGCUCAUGACUAGUGACACCCCGAUUAGGGUUGUGUAUGGGUGUUCUUCCGCGUACUUAUGUUAUUAUUGUCAUUUCGGAGUUAUUUUAACAUGUUUAGACUGUUCUUAAAUGCUUAACUGCUAAUAAUCGGAAAUAGGAAGUGUCAGUUGGCCUUGUCUUGACGAGAGGCACCAUCAUGACCGGGUCCGUGUUUUGGGUCGUGACAGCGGCCAAAGCCCGGGCUUUUUAUACGCUCGUGGAAUGCCCUCUCCUUGAUUGUGGUAGGCAGAGCAUGCCUCUAGCGUGCUUCGGUAUUUGCGUGCUCUGGACGCUGGCCUGCGGGCUCCUCAUUCGACUUGUCUUGAAACACGGACCAAGGAGUCUGACAUAUGUGCGAGUCAACAAGUGAGUAAACGCGUAAGGCGUAAGCAAGCUGAUUGGUGGAAUCCCCCUGAGGGGUGUAUCGCUGACAGACCUUGAUAUUCUAUGAAGGGUUCGAGUGUGAGCAUACCUGUCGGGACCCGAAAGAUGGUGAACUAUACCUGAGCGGGGCGAAGCCAGAGGAAACUCUGGUGGAGGCCCGCAGCGAUACUGACGUGCAAAUCAUUCGUCUGACUUGGGUAUAGGGGCAAAAGACUAAUUGAACUGUCUACUAGCUGGUUCCCUUCGAAGUUUCCCUCAGGAUAGCUGGAGCUCGCGUGCGAGUUCCAUCGGAUAAAGCCAAUGAUUAGAGGCAUCGGGGCUGCAACGACCUCGACCUAUUCUCAAACUUUAAAUAGGUAGGAUGGUGGGGCUGUUUUGUUGAGCCUCACCACGGAAUCAAGAGCUCCAAGUGGGCUAUUUUUUUAAGCAGACUAGUGAUGCGCGAUGAAUCGAAAGCCGGGUUAAGGUGCCAAACUGUGCACUAACCUAGAUCCCACAAAGGGUGUUGGUCGAUUAAGAUUGCAGGACGAUGGUCAUAGAAGUCGAAAUCCGCUAAGGGGUGUGUUACAACUCACUUGCCGAAUCAACUAGCCCCGAAAAUAGAAGGCGCUAAAGCGCAUGAUCUACACUCGACCAUCAGGGCAAGCGCCAGGCCUUGAUGAGUAGGAGGGCGGGGCGGACUCUACAAAACCCUGGGCGUGAGCCUGGGCGGAGCGGCCGUCGGUGCAGAUCUUGGUGGUAGUAGCAAAUAUUCAAAUGAGAACUUUGAAGGCCGAAGAGGGGAAAGGUUCCAUGUGAAUGGCACAUGCACAUGGGUUAGUCGAUCCUAAGGGACGGGGGAACCCCGACAGAUAAUGCGUUUCACGCGUACUCCAAAAGGGAAUCGGGUUAAAAUUCCUGAAGUGGGACAUGGCGGUUAACGGCAACGUGAGGAAGUCUGGAGACGUUGGCGGGGGCCUCGGGAAGAGUUAUUUUUUUUGUUUAACAGCCUGCCUACCCUGGAAAUGACUCAGUCGGAGGUAGGAUCCAGCGGCUGGAAGAUCACCGCACGUCAUGUGGUGUCUGGUGCGCCCUCGAUGGCCCUUGAAAAUCUAGAGGACCGAGUGUCAUCCAUGCCCGGUCGUACUCAUAAUCGCAUCAGGUCUCUAAGGUGAACAACUUCUGGUUGAUGGAACAAUGUAGGCAAGGGAAGUUGGAAAAAUGGAUUCGUAACUUCAGGAAAAGGAUUGGCUCUAAGGGCUGGGUAUGGAGGUCCUUGUCCCGUACCCGUCAGUUGUCAGUGGACUGCUUGAGUUGUUCCCACAGCGAGAGCGGGUCGCCGCAUGCCGGCCGGGGGAUGGACUGGGAAUGGUUCCUUUAGGGGCCUCCCCGGGUGUUGAACAACCAACUCAGAACUGGUACAGACAAGGGGAAUCUGACUGUUUAAUUAAAACAAAGCAUUGCGAUGGUCCCUGCAGAUGUUUACGCAAUGUGAUUUCUGCCCAGUGCGCUGAAUGUCAAAGUAAAGAAAUUCAACCAAGCGCGGGUAAAUGGUGGGAGUAACUAUGAAUCUCUUAAGGUAGCCAAAUGCAUCAUCAUCUAAUUAGUGACGCGCAUGAAUGUAUUAACGAGAUUCCCACUGUCCUUGUCUACUAUCCAGCGAAACCACAUCCAAGGGAACGGGCUUGGCAGAAUCAACGGGGAAAGAAGACCCUAUUGAGCUUGACUCUAGUCCGACUUUGUGAAAUGACUUGAGAGGUGUAGUAUAAGUGGGAGCCAAAAAAGGAAAGUGAAAUACCACUACUUUUAAUGUUAUUUUACAUAUUCCGUGAAUCGAAAGCGGGGCAUUACCCCUCGUUUUGGACCCAAGGCUUGCCUGCAGGCCGAUCCGGGCGAAAGACAUUGUCAGGUUAGGAGUUUGGCUGGGGCGGCACAUCUAUUAAAAGAUAACGCAGGUGUACUAAGAUGAGCUCAACGAGAACAGAAAUCUCGUAUGGAACAGAAAGGUAAAAGCUCAUUUUAUUCUGAUUUCCAGUACGUAUACGAACCGUGAAACAUGGCCUAACGAUCCUUUAGACCUUCGAAAUUCAAAGGUAGAGGUGUUAGAAAAGUUACCACAGGGAUAACUGGCUUCUGGCAGCCAAGCGUUCAUAGCAACGUUACUUUUUAAUCCUUAGAUGUCGGCUCGUCCUAUCAUUGUAAAGCGGAAUUCACCAAGUGUUAGAUUGUUCACCCACCAAUAGGGAACGUGAGCUGGGUUUAGACCGUCGUGAGAUAGGUUAGUUUUACCCUACUAAUGAUAGUGUCGCAAUAGUAAUUCAACCUAGUACGAGAGGAACCAUUGAUUUGCACAAUUGGUCAUCGCGCUUGGUUGAAAAGCUAGUGAUGCAAAGCUACCGUGCGUUGGAUUAUGACUGAAUGCCUCUAAGUCAGAAUCUGGGCUAGAAGCAAUGCAUGCGCCUCUCGUCCACUUUCCGACCCGUAGUAGGGGAUUUUGGCCCUCAAGGGCACAUGUCGUUGGCUAAGUCAUCGCGUCGGAAGAGCCAUAGUAGCCGCCUUGAAGUACAAUUUCCAUCGAGCGGCGAGUAGAAUCCUUUGUAGACGACUUAAAUAUGCAAUGGGGCAUUGUAAGUGGCAGAGUGCCUUGCUGCCACGAUCCACUGAGAU